GGACGUGUAGCUCAGUUGGUUAGAGCGCGUCGCUGAUAACGACGAGGUCCGAAGUUCGAAUCUUCGCACGUCCACCC
rnacentral:tRNA from 1 species